ACCCCAAUCACCUGGGGAUCUUGUGAAACUGCAGAUUCUGAAUCAGUAGGUCUGGUGCAGGGCCCCAGACUCUGCAUUUCUCAAAAGCUCUCAGGUGAUGACAGU
rnacentral:pre_miRNA from 1 species